GGCGAUUCUGCUAAAAUGCAGAUUACAGUUCAGCAGGUGUCGGUCUGAGGCUGGCAAUUCUGCGAUUCCCGCAGUUCCCAGGGUUGCAGGUACUGCUGGUCGAGGGUCCAAACGCUGAGGGGCGAGGGUUGCCAGAUGAGCGCUAAGAAAUGAUUGAUGUGAACUAUGUUUUGAAAUAUCCAAUUUGUGAAGCUGUGAAAAUCUUCAAUACCUCAACUUCUAGGGGCGGACUGCAUUCCUUGGCUUCCUGCAUCUUCAACGCAAGCAACAUUGCAUCUCUGACUAUCCUUCCAUAGUCACGUUUUCUUCUGACUACAGCCUAAGAAGGUUCUCAUCUUUAAGGAUUAAUAUGAUGACACUGGCCUACCCGAAUAAUUCAGGAUAAUCUCCCCAUCUUAAAAUGCUUAUUAACAUUAA